AUGUUGGAUGGUCAAUUACUGCAUAUGCAUUGUGCCGCUCACAUAUUAAACUUAAUUGUAAAAGAUGGAAUGAGUGUCUUAGAGAAAGGUAUAGAGAGGUUGCGAGACAGUGUUGCGUUUUGGUCAGCCACACCGAAAAGGCAUGAGAAGUUUGAAAAGAUGGCAAAAACAUUAAACAUAGAGUAUAACAAAAGGUUAACUCUUGAUUGUAAGACUAGAUGGAAUUCAACUUAUACCAUGAUUAGCAUUGAAGUAGAAUACAUAGAGAUAUUUGAAAAAUUAAAGGCAUGUUAA
rnacentral:rRNA from 1 species